AUACUUGCCUGGCAGGAGAGAUACCAUGAUCACGAAGGUGGUUUUCCCAGGGUGAGGCUUAUUUAUUGCACUCUGGGUGUGCUGAACCCUGUGAUUUCCUCAAAUGUGGGGAAUUCUACUGCAUAAUUUGUGGUAGUGGGGGCUGCGUGCUCUCCUG
ensembl:snRNA U1 U1 spliceosomal RNA